AGCAGCCGCGGUAAUUCCAGCUCCAAUAGCGUAUAUUAAAGUUGUUGCAGUUAAAAAGCUCGUAGUUGAAUUUCGGGAUUAGUACGUUGGUCGUGCCUUCGGUAUGUACUGAUGUUACUGGUUCCUACCUUCUGAAGAACCGUUAUGUCAUUAAUUUGGUGUGGCGGGGGAUAAGGACUGUUACUUUGAAAAAAAUAGAGUGUUUUAAAGAGGCCC
rnacentral:rRNA from 1 species